rnacentral:rRNA from 1 species
UGGGGGAAUAUUGCACAAUGGGCGCAAGCCUGAUGCAGCCAUGCCGCGUGUGUGAAGAAGGCCUUCGGGUUGUAAAGCACUUUCAGCGAGGAGGAAGGUGGUGAACUUAAUACGUUCAUCAAUUGACGUUACUCGCAGAAGAAGCACCGGCUAACUCCGUGCCAGCAGCCGCGGUAAUACGGAGGGUGCAAGCGUUAAUCGGAAUUACUGGGCGUAAAGCGCACGCAGGCGGUUUGUUAAGUCAGAUGUGAAAUCCCCGGGCUCAACCUGGGAACUGCAUUUGAAACUGGCAAGCUAGAGUCUCGUAGAGGGGGGUAGAAUUCCAGGUGUAGCGGUGAAAUGCGUAGAGAUCUGGAGGAAUACCGGUGGCGAAGGCGGCCCCCUGGACGAAGACUGACGCUCAGGUGCGAAAGCGUGGGGAGCAAACA